rnacentral:lncRNA from 1 species
GCUAGAUGAACCCAAUAAUUUUAUGGAUCUAUAAUCUAGAACCACUUAAAACAUCCAUAUAGUCUGGCAGAAGACUUUAAACUUAGUGCUCCUGAGAGGCAACCCAAUUUUUUGUACUUAAUUUACCCUUUUUAGUUUGCUUACUUUCUCUUUAAGACAGAUAGCUAGGUUGGAGGGAGAACCAAAUCUUCAAGGAUGUCUGAAGAACCCCAC